ensembl:lncRNA
GAAAGACCAGUGUGAAGGCCAACUUACAGAAGAGGAACUUUGAGGCAUGUUUAAUUCUGCAACCAAGAAGUAACCAAGUAUUGCACUCACCAAUCAAACCGAGAUGCCAGUGCAACCAAGAAGUUACCAAGAAUUAAUCAAUGAGGAUAUAGCUAUGGCGGGACCUUUAAACACUAGAAGAGGACCAUGGAAAAAUACAUUUCCUCAUCAGACAUGGAGCCCAGGUUCAGAAAACUGACAUAUCGAAGCCUUGUCUUAACAGACAAUAAGGAUUCCAGGAUUUACAGGACAAAAACUACUAAAAGAGCAGGGCUGGGCUGUACUGCUCAGAGGUGGCAACCCAGUAAGCUAGGCACAUUUGCUGGGUCAGCAUGAGAUGCAGUUGGGCCUUUAUAAGGAGCAGUCCUUCAAGUGGGUGGUUAAAAAUGUGCUGGGCUGGGUAUUUGGUGGCAUCAAUGCACAAAGAAUCUGCCUCUCAGCAAGUUUGGAGUAAUUUCAAAAACCAUGCUAUGAA